rnacentral:lncRNA from 1 species
UGUUUUUUUUUUUUUUUUUCCUUUUACAUGAAAAUUGAAAAGUGUUCAUGGCUUUAGCAACAGGCUUUUGGAGGGUUUUGUGUGAGGCUUUUCAUAUGAUAAUUGGUAGAUUCUAUGGCAACCAUUGAAAAAGAAGCCCUGAAAACAAAAGCUGCAGCAGAAGAGGAUCAGUACAUAUUCACUAUGUCUGCGGGAAUAACGGCAGAGACUCACUCUUCAGAAAGGUGUCUACACAUUAAUCACUGGUUAAGAAAUACCCCAAGGUUUAUGUCUGAAGACAGCUGUAGUCAAAUCAGGAUGCUUUCCAGAAAAGCCAAAGGCACUACAGAGAGGCAAAACUAGAGUAUGAGAGAAGAGAAUCAAGAGUGCCUGAUCCAAAUCCUACUGCAUUAGUGGUAAAUUUCUCCUUGACCACAGGGAAUUUUGGAUGAGAUCCCAUGCUCUGAUUUUGGCAGUCAGCUUGGCUACCACAUCACAGUCCACUUCAGCUUGAAACAAGCAAGACCUAAACCAGAGAAAAAAGUAGGUUAAAAAUAAAAACAGUAUUAGAUCUAUGAGGACCUUGCCA